AAUGAACGCUGGCGGCGUGCCUAACACAUGCAAGUCGAAUGUGCCGCAAGGUGCAUGGCAGACGGGUGAGUAACGCGUGGGCAAUCUACCUAUCAGUGGGAAUAACGAUCCGAAAGGAUUGGUAAUACCGCAUGUGACCAUCGACUGGGAUGUUGGUGGUGAAACCUGGGGACCGCAAGGCCUGGGGCUGAUAGAGGAGCCUGCGUCUGAUUAGCUAGUUGGCGGGUAACGGCCCACCAAGGCGACGAUCAGUAGCCGGCCUGAGAGGGUGAUCGGCCACACUGGAACUGAGACACGGUCCAGACUCCUACGGAGGCAGCAGUGGGGAAUUUUGCGCAAUGGACGAAAGUCUGACGCAGCAACGCCGCGUGGGUAGAUGAAGGUCUUCGGAUUGU
rnacentral:rRNA from 1 species